AUACUCAACUAAAAUGUUACUCUUACAACGCUUUAAUCAACAUCAAAACUCUUGCCUAAAAGUGUGUGACCACACAAAAAAUGCUGGGUGGU